UAAGGAAUAUUGCUCAAUGGGAGAAAUCCUGAAGCAGCAACGCCGCGUGGAGGAUGAAGGGUCUAUGACUUGUAAACUCCUGUAAAGAAGGAAAAAAUUCCCAUUUGAUGGGAGAUGAUGGUACUUCUGGAGUAAGCCCCGGCUAACUACGUGCCAGCAGCCGCGGUAAUACGUAGGGGGCAAGCGUUGUCCGGAUUUACUGGGUGUAAAGGGUGCUCAGGCGGAUUUGUAAGUCAGAGGUGAAAUCUUACAGCUUAACUGUGAAACUGCCUUUGAUACUGCAAGCCUAGAGUAUGGAAGAGAGUGAUAGAAUAUCUGGUGUGGCAGUGAAAUGCGUAGAUAUCAGAUAGAACACCAAUGGCGAAGGCAGUCACUUGGUCCAUUACUGACGCUAAAGCACGAAAGCGUGGGUAGCAAACA
rnacentral:rRNA from 1 species